GUCGACCUGUAGCGUCCGUGAGGAUUUUGUCCUUGGCUUGUGGCUGCCUCCUUCCAUUUUCCCAGCACAGACAAACGAUGAUCCGCCUCCAGCCAUCCGUUCCCUCCUUGCAACAUCAAGGGCGCCAACGAGAACCACCGAGAAGGACUCUUCAUUGACCUGCUUUAGUUCAGGUACCACCUUUUGGACCAGUCUCUGUGGGCAAGGAUGAAGUAGCAUGGUGGACCAGUUUGGCUAAAAUG
rnacentral:lncRNA from 1 species